UACGUAGGAGGCGAGCGUUGUCCGGAAUUACUGGGCGUAAAGAGCGCGUAGGCGGCGCUGUACGACCCGUGUGAAAGCCCCCGGCUCAACUGGGGAGGGUCACGGGUAACGGCAGUGCUCUGAGUGCAGGAGAGGGAAGUGGAACUCCCGGUGUAGCGGUGAAAUGCGCAGAUAUCGGGAAGAACACCCGUGGCGAAGGCGGCUCUCUGGGACGGUACUGACGCUGAGACGCGAAAGCGUGGGGAGCGAACAGG
rnacentral:rRNA from 1 species